ACAUGCCCACACCUGUGGCUUCUGAAGCAGAGCACCAGCAGUGACAGUCCCACCAGAACCGCAUGGAAUAGAAAACUGUGCAUUUCCCUAAGGAAAGGGAAUGCCAGAGAAGGGCAGAAGGGAAAUCAGGAAGACAAAACGUGUCUUCAUGUUGGAGUGGACCUUUCCUCUAUCUGUCAACAGAAUGGAUAAAUUGUGGAAGAGUAAUAUCAGAAUACUACACAUCAGUAAAAAACAACAAACUUCUGCUACAAACAAUCAACAUCGAUGAAUCUUUCAGGCAAAAGGUUAUAGAAACAGAUGAUCAGUGGCCCACGGAUUCCAGGUGAGGAUCUGGGACCCAGACAUCCAGAUAUUGAAAACACAGGGAUGGAGUCUGUAUGGAAAAAAUUAAAAUAUAGCAAAAUGUGAAAUACGGAAGAGAAAUCUUUCAAUUUCCCAAUGGAAGUGAGAAAAGAGCAAAGAAAAGUAUUGGUCUUCCAAAACAAAUAGAGGACGGAGCUGCUGCUGUUGCAUGGUGUCUAGAAACUCAGACAACUUCAUCAUUCCAUAUUUGCAUCCAAGAGAGAGAAAGAAAAACUACAAUCAUUUUCCAUUUACCCAUCAACCCAUCAACCUCCAAAGACAGGGUCUCACUAUGUUGCCCCAGUUGGCCUUGAACUGCUGGACUCAAGGGAUCCUCCUGCCUCAGCAUCCUGAGUAGCUGGGUCUACAGGCAUGAACCACCAGGCCCAGAACCCUGUCUUUUGAAAGCCAUAUGCGAUCUGUCUGCCCUGAAGUGACUACUUCAUCUCCAACCAGCCCUUGGCUGGCAAAGUCAGGAAGACUCCAGUCUUUCCUGAAGACCAGGGGAGAGUUUAUAACUCUAGCAUCAAAGUCAGCAGCUGUUCAUCUAGAAGACAACUUCCCAAAAGUCAAUGUCUUUGCCUGAAGCUUUUCUUCCCAGAUCUCCUAUGGUGAAACAACCAAAGGGAAGAAGAAUGUGGGCAGCCCUCAGUAAGACAGGAGAUGAGCAUCAACAUUGACCCAUUCUUUCUUCCAGUCCUCGAUGCUUACCUUGUACAUUCUUCUUUGUCUUCCGACUCAGUGCCUUUAGGGUAUGGACGUUGCCUGGUCCCACACAAGCCAAGCAUCAAAUGGAUGGCUCAACAAGGAGGCCAAGACCAGCUAAUGUUUAGUGAGCACCCAAAGGGGCCACACUGGAGAGAACAGCACAGCUCCGUCUGAGAAACAGCUGUUCCUUCCUGCCUGAGAGGCAGAGUGAUAGAAGAUAUCACAGAAUGUUGCUGCUUUGUCUUCCACCCUGAACCCUCCACGACCUCCCUGUAGCUUCCUGAUUUUAAGUAGACAUCAAAUGAUUCUUAAUCCUUUCUGGGUCUUGGAACGAUUUGAAAAUUGUCAACAGUACUGGGAUUCCCAGAAUAAUGCACAUAUGUACAUACUCAGAUAUUCCCCAAGCCCUGGAUAUAAUUUUAAGGGAGUUCACAGACCACACUCCCCCACCCAUCUGUGGACCCAGAUUCUGUGGGUUCGAGAUUCAGAAGCCCUGUUUCUAGGCAGGCCCUCUGUUGCUAACGCCCCUCGAGAACAUCACCCUAGAUGAUUAUCCCUUCUUCCUCCACUCCUUCCCACCUUCUCCAACUGCUGGGUUUCAGCACAAAGAUUGCUUGCCAGUUAAACUGGCACCAUGGACCGCACAGUAGUUGUUUCUUGGGUCUAGAGGAAACAGCCAGAUUCCUUUAAGUAAAUCAUGUCUUAGUUAUUGAUUGUCUCCACUUGAAGUUUUUGACAAUCUCUGAUUAAAUCAUAAACCACUGC
rnacentral:lncRNA from 1 species